UAGUUAAAAUUUUAAAGGUAAAUUCUGCCCUAUGAUUAUUUAAAUGGCUGCAGUAUAUUGACUGUGCAAAGGUAGCAUAAUAAUUAGUUUUUUAAUUGGAGACUUGUAUGAAUGAAUUAAUGAGAAGUUUUUUUUAUUAUUUUUAAUUUUAGAAUUUAAUUUUUAAGUUAUAAAGCUUAAUUGUUUUUUUGGGACGAGAAGACCCUAUAGAAUUUGAAUAGUUAAAUUUUAUUACUAUAUUUUAGUUUAUUAUUAUUUUUUAUUUUUUUUUAAUUUUUACUGGGGCGGUAUUCAAAUUUAUCUUUGAUUAGUUAAUUCAUUAAAUUUAUGUUUAAUUGAUCCAUUAUUUUGAUUAUAAGAUUAAAUUACCUUAGGGAUAACAGCAUAAUUUCUAUGGUGAGUUCUUAUUUAUAUAGAAGUUUGUGACCUCGAUGUUGAAUUAAGAUAAGAUUAUGGGGCAG
rnacentral:rRNA from 1 species